UUAGUUGGAAAGACAUGCCUGAAUCUAAUAUAACUGACAUGGUUGAACUAAUAUAGGUAUUAUAUAGAAUUUCAUAAGUUGUAAUUAAUUUCAUCUUUUGAAAUGGUUGACUUGUUUAUUAUUGACUUUUAUGAUAGAGUAAGUUCCAAUUUGUUCCUGAACUGUCUGAGCAAACCAAGAGAAUACUAAAGGAUAACAUGAGUAAUAAGUGGAGGCAAUUCAAGCAUGAUUUGAAAUCAAAGGCAUAUGAUGCAAGUAAGACUAAGGAAGAAAUGGCUGCCAACAUCCCAGACAAAAGGGUUGAUCCUUCUUAGUAUCGUGAUUUAGUACAUCAUUGGUGUUCUAAGAAAGGACAAGACAUAAGUAUCAUGAAUAAAAGAAGUCGCUCAAAAUAUGAGGAUCUACAUUGCAUGGGUACCAAAAAUAUCCCAAGGUUAAUUCAUGAGAAAAAAAAAAGGAGAAUGGAGUGCAACCCUCACGAGCUGAAAUUUAUAUUGAUACUCGGACUCGAAAAGAUGGGAGCAUUGUGAAUGAAAAGGCAGUCCAUGUGAUUGACGAAUUAAAGAAGCAUAUGGUGGAGGUAGAAAGCUUAGGAGGAUCUCAAACUGCUCCUGAUUAUACAAAUUGGAAAAAUGACAUCUAUUCAAAAGUGAAAGGGCUUGAAAAAAGAGGACAUGUACGUUGUCUUGGCAAACUUCCACUUGCUAAAAAUUCAAAUACUGCAGCUCAAAGUUCUACUGCAGAACUUAGAAUUCAAAAAUUAGAGAAGGUACUUGGAAAUCUUGUUUCUUUUCUUCAAGCACGAUUUUCAGGAGUUCAAGAGAUUAAUGAUAUUAUAGAAGCUGUAGAUCAAGAGAUACCUGAUGCUGCAAGUAACAGAAACGAUUAUAAUAAUAGCAUUUAGUGAACUACAAGUGGUGGGUGUUAGGUGAUAUCGAUAAUCGUUCUUUAUAAAUACUAGGAUUUAUACAUGCUUAUGCGCAUCAAUAAUGGGUAGGAUAUUACCCUGAGAUUGUUAAUAUUUCCAAUUCUAGGCUUGGAUUGCAGGAUUGCUUGUAAGUGCAUGACGGAUUUUCCUGCAUAUAGAAUAGUUUGAAUUGUUGUUGUUUUUGUCCAUAGAUACUGUAGGGGGUUAAGCAUAGACUUAGAAUAUUGUGGGGUGGUGCAAUACAAGAUAUGCACAAGAUUGUUUUGAUGUCUUUUAUAUAUAGUGUGGAAGGGAAAGAUGAAAAAAGCAAGGAUAUCUGAAAAAUGAAAUACAUAAAUAUCUAGUUCUGAAGUGUGAUCCUUUGUGGGAACCAAUUGUAAUUGAAGAAACCAUCAAGAUAAGAUUCGUAACAGCUAGCCUAGCCACUAAUGGUUGCUUUUUCUUAAUUUCCAUGGCAGGGAUCAAUUCCCACUUUCUUGUC